rnacentral:rRNA from 1 species
UACGUAGGAGGCGAGCGUUGUCCGGAGUUACUGGGCGUAAAGGGUGCGCAGGUGGCCGUGCGCGUGGGGAGUGAAAUCGCCUGGCUUAACUGUGGAACUGCUUGGUAUACUGCCAGUCUUGAGCCAGCUAGGGGCUACCGGAACAAAUGGUGGAGCGGUGAAAUGCGUAGAUAUCAUUUGGAACGCCAAUGGUGAAAACAGGUAGCUGGGGCUGUGCUGACGCUGAGACACGAAAGCCAGGGGAGCAAACGGG